rnacentral:rRNA from 1 species
GGGCGUCUCUUUCUCGUUACGAGUGGAGGCGCACCUGUAGCGCACACGCUGAUACCCGAAAGAUGGUGAACUAUGCCUGGCCAGGACGAAGCCAGGGGAAACCCUGGUGGAGGUCCGCAGCGAUUCUGACGUGCAAAUCGAUCGUCGGAGCUGGGUAUAGGGGCGAAAGACCAAUCGAACCAUCUAGUAGCUGGUUCCCUCUGAAGUUUCCCUCAGGAUAGCUUGCGCUCGGUGACGAGUCUCAUCCGGUAGAGCGAAUGAUUAGAGGCCUUGGGGUCGAAACGACCUCAACCUAUUCUCAAACUCCAAAUAGAUGAGAUCCCCGGCUUGCUUGAAAUGAAGCCGCGUCGGAUCAGAGUGCAAAGUGGGCCAAUUUU